rnacentral:misc_RNA from 1 species
GAUGAAGAACGUAGCGAAAUGCGAUACUUGGUGUGAAUUGCAGAAUCCCGUGAACCAUCGAGUCUUUGAACGCAAGUUGCGCCCGAAGCCGUCAGGCCGAGGGCACGCCUGCCUGGGCGUCACACGCCGUUGCCCCCCCGCGCCCCGCACCCAACGCUUUGGUAGCGACCGCGGGGCGGGCUGAUGAUGGCCUCCCGUGCGCUCCGCCGCGCGGUUGGCCCAAAUACCGAGUCCCCGGCGACGUGCGCCACGACGAUCGGUGGUUGAGAGACCUCUGUCGCAAGUCGUGCGCGCCCGUCGCGUCACGCGGGCUCGCAUAGCGCCUCGCGCCGCACCCGGUGCGGAGCUUUCAACGCGACCCCAGGUCAGGCGGGGUUACCCGCUGAAUUUAAGCAUAUCAAUAAGCGGAGGA